GAUGAACGCUGGCGGCGUGCCUAAUACAUGCAAGUCGAGCGAACAGACGAGGAGCUUGCUCCUCUGACGUUAGCGGCGGACGGGUGAGUAACACGUGGAUAACCUACCUAUAAGACUGGGAUAACUUCGGGAAACCGGAGCUAAUACCGGAUAAUAUAUUGAACCGCAUGGUUCAAUAGUGAAAGACGGUUUUGCUGUCACUUAUAGAUGGAUCCGCGCCGCAUUAGCUAGUUGGUAAGGUAACGGCUUACCAAGGCAACGAUGCGUAGCCGACCUGAGAGGGUGAUCGGCCACACUGGAACUGAGACACGGUCCAGACUCCUACGGGAGGCAGCAGUAGGGAAUCUUCCGCAAUGGGCGAGAGCCUGACGGAGCAACGCCGCGUGAGUGAUGAAGGUCUUCGGACCGUAAAACUCUGUUAUUAGGGAAGAACAAAUGUGUAAGUAACUAUGCACGUCUUGACGGUACCUAAUCAGAAAGCCACGGCUAACUACGUG
rnacentral:rRNA from 1 species